AAAAACUGAGAAACCUCUUUUGUUCAUUUUGUGUUUGGUCGUCCUUCUGCUGAAGAUGUUUAGUGAUGUCUCCUGAUCACUGUUACUGGGUCAGUGUCCUACUCCUUGUCUUCCAGUUGCUGGGGAGACUCUUUGGUUCCCAUGGCAACAACCCUUCUGUCAGCCUUAAGAAAAAUUAUGCAAGAACAAAAGUUUAAAUAUCACAUGGAUAACACUGGAAUUUUAAAUGUCCAAAAAAAAAAAAAUAAAAAAAAAAAAACGGGAAAUACUUUGUGUUUUUUUUUCAUUUUCUGUGACAAUGCAAAUUGUGUGUAACAGAUGUCAGCAUUAUGGGUUGGGCCUUCAGUCUGUGGGGAGGAGGGGGGGGGGACUCUUGGUCAGCUGUUUUAAAAUGGCUGCCCCCAUAUCACCUUUUUUGCAUUUUAGCAGGUAUGAGGUUCGGUUGUUUUGGACUGCUGUCAGUUUCACUAGCAUGACUAAGUCGUCAAAUAAACAUUCAUUUACGAGUAACUUAUGCUCCUCAAAAUAAUAGAACUAUUUUCUAUACCUGGGUGCAAUGUAAAAUGCAGCAAAAUGCACACGUCUCUGGUUUGUGUUAUGCUGCCACCCCGUCAGUUUUCUGAAGGGUGCUUAGGAUGGCGCUCUUACCUGGGUUUCUGCCUGCUCACGCAUGUCAGGUUAAAGUUUGAAUUACUUUGCCAUUCAGAUUUGAUACCUUGGUUAGGCUACUGUGCCUUUUUUGUGGGUAUGACACGGCAUGGAGAAUAGCAGGCACUGUUAAUGUCUUUUUUUAAAUAGGUGAUGUCAAAAGAAUUCCAUUAUUAAGACGGUUUAUAUAAUUGGAUUUUAAAGCUUUUUAAGGAGGAUGCAAUGAAGGUAUACAUAUAGUGUAAUGCUUAUUAGCAGGGAACUGGGACCUGACCUUUGCAGAAUGUAACUUGAAGGGUCCUCUGACAAACAGCACAAGCUUUGGUAAUGGGGACAUUACUGCUGUAUACGGAGUUUAUUUCUCUUAUUGGGUGGGGAAGGGAAUGAAGCUUAAAAGCAGCAGUUAAGAUUUUCCCAGAGGGUUAGACCUAAAUGAGCAAGACCUGCGGAACAACCCUUUACGUCUGUUAUGCUUUGAAAAUUUGUGACAGGAUUUAGCAUUGAGUCUGGUCUCAUUGCUGUAUGGACGUCAGGAAGAACUGCAAAUACGAGUUUAUACUAAGAUAUAUGAGCUUCAGCAGUCAUACUUCACCUGUGUCCAGCAGUAUUACACUUGUAUUUGUAUUUGUUAUGCUGCACAUUUUAAAAGUUGAAGCAGUAACUAAUGCAUUUAUAAAUGUUUUAUACUGACAUAUGUAAAGUUUAAAAAAAACCUCCCCGUCCCGCGUGGAACCCCAGAAUAGUUAAACUUCCCUUAACUUUUCCUAUUCAUUUUGAAUGGUACUGCUCAAUAAUGCGGGUGUAAUAUUCUUUUGGCCACUGGCUGAUGUUUUUGCGCUGUUUCGACGCUUCCGAAGACCUUUACCUUAGUCAGCACUGUCAGGCGACCGGACACUGAUGUUGGAAUUCAGAAUAACUACUGGAACUAAUAUUAAUAUUGCAAUGAAUCUGGUGAUUCACCUAAAAACCCGGCACUAAUCGAACGGAAAGGACAGCUCUCCAAGAUUUAGAAGUUCUUCCCGGGGAAGGUGACGUUGUGCUUCCGGAGAGGAUCGAGAUGCAGCGUUGGUCAGCGGAGGAGCCAAAUAACACAUUACCUGCUACUUCAGAAGCAGUGCUAAUCCCCGUGGUCAGCAGAGUGAACCCACCAUUGGGCCCUUAACCCCAACUGCCCCAGGGACUGGCUGACCCUACAGUCUCCUCUACGCCAGAUCCAUGCGGUGCCUCCUGGGAUGCUUUCCCAGCUGUCCCGGAGGUCCCACAUAUAUGCUGAACACUCACUGGCCACUUUUCCUUCACUGACUGUUUUUGAAACCUGGCAGUAUCACUGUUAGUAUUGUCACAGCAUAAUAUUUUUUAAUUAUGGGUUUUGUCUUGAUUUUGCUGAUUUGUUUAGGAAUUUAUGAGCAGGACUUCUGUAAACUGACGUGUAUAUUUAGUAGCUUUAUUAGCUGUUAGUGUGCAUGAGUCCUUUGUUAACAUGCUAUGAAAUGCCAUAACCCUGCCAUCUAAGACAACGCAUCAUUCCAGCUGUUAGUAUUCAACAUACCUUCUUAUCUUCCUAUCCCUGUGUAUGAGAACCCGAGCAUCUGUAUCUUUCUAUGUAAAUAAUCUCAAUAAA